rnacentral:rRNA from 1 species
UACGUAGGGACCAAGCGUUGUUCGGAUUUACUGGGCGUAAAGGGCGCGUAGGCGGCAAUUCAAGUCAGCUGUGAAAUCUCCGGGCUUAACUCGGAAAGGUCAACUGAUACUGCGGGGCUAGAGUGCGGAAGGGGCAACUGGAAUUCUCGGUGUAGCGGUGAAAUGCGUAGAUAUCAGGAAGAACACCAACGGCGAAGGCAGCUCGCUGGGACGGAACUGACGCUAAGGCGCGAAAGCGUGGGGAGCGAACAGG